UCCACGAUCGGCCGGCGCCGUUUGCGUUUGCCUUUUAAGUAGACAACGUAGCUGCCCCGGGGAGUCACUUCGCGUUGCAACUUGUCUGUGCUGCCUGCCCGAGAGACCCCUGAACUGGACCGGACUAUGGUUUUCAUGUGCGCGUGCUUGUACUCGGACAGCAGGCCGGUCGUCAGGGGCAUCUGGAAACCACCGUGACCCCAUCGCAGAGGACCGGCGCGGAGGGAGGCGACUCGGAACAGCGGGCUUCGUUAAGGUGAGCCUCCUCGAGCGUGAUUUGUGUCUAACGAUAUUGCGACGACUAUAUUGCUGCGCUCAAUUGACUCGAAGGUUUCUUGGUCCGCCGUCGUUACGUCGGGUCCCGUCAGUGACGGAAGCGUGAGGGGUGUCGUCGAACACGAGCUUCAGGUUUAGCGAACACUACGAAGGACUAGCUUGUAUAGGGUUGCCCCUUUUACGCUUGCGUUGCGGACGGCGACCCGUUCCGAAUGCGGUUGCAAACGGCGCACCUUAUCGUGUCAAGGAAUGCCCGCGCGCGACAGAGGUGCUCUUGAACGAUAAGUGCUUCCCGUGCGCAAAUUGGCAUUCGGAAUUUGGCAGUCAGGUGACAUCGACGAACGGGUGUUGCAGCUUUCUCUUCUGCUAACUUCCAUUGUUUCGUUGCAGUCUCGAACCGUUUUUCGCAUUUCAACGACGCCUUUUCGCGUGUUACGAAUGAACCCCGCCAUGACUUUUGGACCACCGAAGUUCCGCUAAACCGCUGCUUUUUCACGUGAGUACAUCAUGUCUUUCUCACUUUCUGUUUUGCUUCACAAGUCCUUGCGCUCAUUGCAGAUCCGACGCCCAUGCACAACACCAUCUGCCAACUGAGCAUUGCCGUGUGGUGCAACUUCCGUGGCUCAGUGUGUUCUUCGGCCAUCUCCGGAAAAACGCCACCUCAUCGUCAGAGCUACGGCCACGGCUGCAAUAUUUUCAUGCGCCUCCCUUUUCCAUGGGUCUUCGAAGAAACCUACGUUUUUUUUUUCUUUUUUCGCGACACCGGCCUUUCGCUCAGCACCCGAGUCUUGCUACUUUUUCUGUCCCGUUUUUCGCGCCCGUCCGUCACCGCAUUUUCAGGGUGAGUACAUCCCACCGUUGCUUACGCUAUACUAAGUUUUUUUUCUUUAUUUCCUGCAUCGUAGUUACGCGUACCUUUGGGCUCCUGUAUGUGCGCUUGGUCCACAGUGCUCCUGGCUCAGCUACGGUUCUGCGGGGUCUACCCCGUGGCCUUCGUUCGGCUGGAAACCGUGCAGAGGAGUUUCGCUGCCGCUUCGUGGUCUUCGGGCGGCUCGGUGAAAGCUGUGCUUCGUCGCCCCGUCUGCCCGUUGCGGAAAUGGCUGUGCCAUCCUUCUCGGCCAUAGUCCGCAUUGCUUCGCUGCGCCGCCAACCUUCGGGCUCUGCCAUCGCAUACUUAUGUCCCAGGGCUCUUGCUGGCGCCGUUUCCUGCAUGCUGCCGGCUCUGCUGCCUGGUGCUGCUGCGACGACUGGUUUCGUGCUGUCGUCAUGCCAUCUGCUAUCUGAGCUUCCUUUGCUGCCACAUUGUGGUCUUCAGGCAGCGCCCAACUUCUCCUUAGCAGUGGACUUCCGCUAGCAGACCAGAGAUGACGCAUGACUGAUUAAAAUAAAGGAAGUCUUUAAAAGAG
rnacentral:lncRNA from 1 species